rnacentral:rRNA from 1 species
UGGGGAAUAUUGCACAAUGGAGGGAACUCUGAUGCAGCGACGCCGCGUGAACGAAGAAGGCUUUCGAGUCGUAAAGUUCUUUUAUAUGGGAAGAUAAUGACGGUACCAUAAGAAAAAGCCCCGGCUAACUACGUGCCAGCAGCCGCGGUAAUACGUAGGGGGCUAGCGUUGUCCGGAAUCACUGGCCGUAAAGGGUUCGCAGGCGGAAAUGCAAGUCAGGUGUAAAAGGCAGUAGCUUAACUACUGUAAGCAUUUGAAACUGCAUAUCUUGAGAAGAGUAGAGGUAAGUGGAAUUUUUAGUGUAGCGGUGAAAUGCGUAGAUAUUAAAAAGAAUACCGGUGGCGAAGGCGACUUACUGGGCUCAUUCUGACGCUGAGGAACGAAAGCGUGGGUAGCAAACAGG